CUUUUAGUAGAAAGGAUGAUUAUUAUUAUUUCAAACUAGUAUACCCAUGUCAUCAAAAAUGCCAACAGUUUUAUUAAUGAUAGAAAAUGGCACAUCAACACAAUGGAGAAAACCUUUAAUAAAUGUCAGCAAUCUAUCAAAUAUAUGUACGUGCACA